AACCUUCCUCGGAACUUGGGCUUUGGGCGGAGUCAAAGUCGCAGAGGUCUUCUCUGCGUGGGCGGGGAAGAGCGGCCGUAGUUGUAACCAGCGGCUCCUGUUAUGUAAAGUAGUGAAGUGUCAGCGCUCUUCCCGCCACAGCUUUCAGUGCCCCUUCGGUUUGCAGUCGGGCUCACAGGCCCAGGAAGGGAAAGACAUGCCCAGAAGGGAUUUCCUGAUGUAGCAGUGAUUCUUUCUUCAGGACUCACAUAUACUGCAGGCCUCUUGAGAAGUAAGUGCCUGAACCCUUGUUGAUAAUGCUUCGGGAGAAAAUGUGCUGGAAACAGCCUGUGAAAAGGCAGCGAGAAGAGUGAAACACAGAGAACCGGGAACGCAGCACAGAAAAAGAGAGUGCCUGACGCCAUCACCACUAAAGAGAUGUUUACUGAAUGAAUGAACUGCUUAUAGUUUGAUGCUUCCACAAGUUGUCCCAUUACCUGUGUCUGCUGGUGCUUUUCCUUUGCCUAGAAUACCUUUCCCUUCCUCACCUGGCUCAUUCCUAAAGACUCAUCCGUCACAGGAAAUGAAGCCAGAAUCCACAGAUGUCAUUAUCCAUCUGCACGCUUUUGUUUACUACCCAGAAGGCAAGAAUAUUGCAUCUUAAAAGUGUCCGGACUUUUGUUCUUUCUUAUCACAAAUGACUUGAGAAGAUCUGACCAUUCACAGUUACCCAGAGUGGAAGUGCCAAAGACAUGCUUCCUGGAGCGCUUUGAGAUUCAGGUACCAUUAUGGUGAUGAUCACUGUGACAGGGGAGCUGAGAGGGAAAAUUGGGGGGGGGAGCUGCAAAAACCAGGGAGACCUGUUAAAAAUUAUAAUACAAGAGAUAUUUGGGAAACACUCCUGUUUACCACUGCAACAAAAAGAAUAAAAUACCUAGGAAUAAACCUACCUAAGGAGACAAAAGACCUAGGAAACUAUAAAACACUGUUGAAAGAAAUUAAAGAUGAUACAAACAGAUGGAGAGAUAUACCACGUUCUUGGAUUGGAAGAGUUAACGUUGUGAAAGUGACUAUACUACCCAAAGCAAUCUGCAGAUUCAAUGCAAUCCCUAUCAAACUACCAAUGGCAGUUUUCACAGAAUUAGAACAAAAAAUUUUACAAUUCACAUGGAAACACAAAAGACCCCGAAUAGCCAAAGCAAUCUUGAGAAAGAAAAACGGAGCUGGAGGAAUCAGGCUUCCUGACUUCAGACUAUACUACAAAGCUACAGUAAUCAAGACAGUAUGGUACUGGCACAAAAACAGAAAUAUCGAUCAGCGGAACAGGAUAGAAAGCCCAGAGAUAAACCCAUGCACAUAAGGUCACCUUAUUUUUGAUGAAGGAGGCAAGAAUAUACAAUGGAGAAAAGACAGCCUCUUCAAUAAGUGGUGCUGGGAAAACUGGACAGCUACAUGUAAAAGAAUGAAAUUAGAACACUCCCUAGCACCGUACACAAAAAUAAACUCAAAAUGGAUUAAAGACCUAAAUGUAAAGCCAGACACUAUAAAACUCUUAGAGGCAAACAUAGGCAGAACACUCUAUCACAUAAAUCGCAGCAAGAUCCUUUUUGACCCACCUCCUAGAGAAAUGGAAAUAAAAACAAAAAUAAACAAAUGGGACCUAAUGAAACUUAAAAGCUUCUGCACAGCAAAGGAAACCAUAAACAAGACGAAAAGACAACCCUCAGAAUGGGAGAAAAUAUUUGCAAAUGAAGCAACUGACAAAGGAUUAAUCUCCAAAAUUUACAAGCAGCUCAUGCAGCUCAAUAUCAAAAAAACAAACAACCCAAUCCAAAAUGGGCAGAAGACCUAAAUAGACAUUUCUCCAAAGAAGAUGUACAGAUUGCCAACAAACACGUGAAAGGAUGCUCAACAUCACUAAUCAUUAGAGAAAUGCACAUGAAAGCUACAAUGAGGUAUCACUUCACACCGGUCAGAAUGGCCAUCAUCAAAAAAUCUACAAAGAAUAAAUGCUGGAGAGGGUGUUGAGAAAGGGGAACGCUCUUGCACUGUUGGUGGGUAUCUCAUAGAAGUGGAACCACAAUAUUUGUCCUUUUGUGACUGGCUUAUCUCACCGAGCAUAAAGUCUUCAGAACUCAUCCAUGUUGCAGCAGGUGUCAGAGCUUCCUUCCUUCUUAAGGUUGAGUAAUAUUCCAUUCUAUGUAUAUGCCACAUUUUGUUUAUGCAUUCCUCUGCCUGUGAAUUUAGGUUGUUUCCACCUUUGGGCUGCUGCAAAUGCUGCUGUGAAUGUGGAUAUCCAAAUAUCCGUCUGAGCCUCUGCUCCGUUGUUUGGGAUGGCUGUUUCUUUUUUUUUUUUUUUUUUUUUUUUUUUUUUGCGGUACGCGGGCCUCUCACGGCUGUGGCCUCUCCCGUUGCGGAGCACAGGCUCCAGACGCGCAGGCUCAGCGGCCAUGGCUCACGGGCCCAGCCCCAGCCGCUCCUCGGCAUGUGGCAUCCUCCUGGACUGGGGCACGAACCCGUGUCCCCUGGCUCGGCAGGCGGACCCUCAAUCACUGCGCCACCAGGGAAGCCCUGGAUGGCUCUUUCUUGGUUAAUCAUUUUUUAACAUUAUCUUUUAAUUUCCAGACAUGUUAAAUCAGACAUGUGAGGACUUAAUUACAACAACUCCCUACUUUUCUACACACUCCCCACCCCCACCCUCGCAUAGUUUUGGUUAAACAAACAACCAGUGUUUUGUCUGUUGUAACUUUACAAAUGUUGUCAGCUGCUGAGCGAGACGUGCUCCAGUCCCUUGUCUAUUUUCCAGAAUACUUUUUUUUUUUUUCUGGAGUUAACAGUGACAUCAACUUUACAUUUGCUCAGUUUUCUAUGUACUAUCAUCACUACAUUUUCCUUAGUGCCCUGCUACAUGUUUACUGAUAACAAGCUCCACUGGGGCAGGCAUAAGGUUCUUUUUUGUUUUGUUUUGUUUUUCUUCUUUUUGCAGAAGCCCAAUAUCCUCCUGCUCCAGUCUGGAGUGGAUGUUUCUUUGCACCACUGCAUCUUGUGUCUUCCCUUCUUUCUCCUGCUAUUUCCCGCAUCCCAUCUGUGUAGUUCGAAGCACAUAUUUCAAUAGUUUCCUGAGAAAAUUUACAUGGGAUAUAAAAAUGUUGAGUUCUUGCAUGUGUUAAAAAUAUAUUUGUUUUACCCUUACUAUUUGGGAAGAUAGUUUGGCUGGGAAUAGAAACCUGAAUUGAAAAAUCAUUCAGAAUAAGGCACCCUUGUUAUUGGUUUUAGCUUUCAGUGCUGCUGCUGAGAAAUGGUUAUGCUACUUGGAUUCCUUUUUUUUUUUUUCUCUGUUUUAUUUUGAAAAAUUUCAAGCCUACUAUUAAAAAAACCUAAAGAACAGAACAAUGAACACCUGAAUACUCCACACCUAGCCUCAUUAUUAUUAACAUUUUGCCACAUCAGCUUCCUCUGAUUUUGUCUUUUUCUCUCCUGGUCAGUUGGUCUGUCAUCCAUCCAUCCACUUAUAUUUCUAUCUCUCUAUGCAUAUAUUCACAUAUAUAUCUAUAUGAGUAUAAUUUCCUUUGUUGAAUAUUUGGAAGGUACAGGUAUUGUGAUGCCUCCAUCCUAAAUACUUCAGCAUAGCUCUUCUCAGAACAAGGACGUUCACCUAUAUUUGCAUAAUAUUAUUAUCAUAAAAUAAAAUCCAAUAUAGAGUCUGUAUUUGAAUUCCCCAAUGGUCUCAUGUCAUCCUUUAUAGCUGCCUUUCUUCUUUUGCUGAUCCAGGAUCAAAUUGCGGCUGUCACAUCACACGUGCUCAUUGGAAUGGACUCUAUCUGUGCCCCGCCCCUGUCUGGAGACCAUUCAGUGUGCUCUGGCCAACUUGUGGCUGCCAGAAGCUGUGUCCCUGUGCCUAAGGGCUUUUCUCCAGAUUAGCUGUGAUUAUUAGCCUUUCACUGAAUUGCCCAUUUUUAGUCCUGUGCUCCUUCACCUCCAUGUCUCAUGUCUCACCUAUGAAGGCUCUCGGGUUCAUUUUAUCUGGAGGAUAAGCCUCUGCUCGCCUGCUGGUGAUGUCAGAGUGGAGACGGGAGGAAUAGUUGCUUGGCUACAUAGGGUGGGAAAGGAGUGAGGGUUUAACCCUUCUGUCUACAACUUUUCAACCAAUCCUCUGUUUUCAGCCCCUGACUUGCCCUGCCCCCACUUUCCACACUAUUUGUGUCUCCCAGUUCUGUGUGUGUCACCUGGCUAACUUCCUAGUGGCACCUGAGAUGUAGCAGCUGCUCUUUGCUGCAUCCGCUACUGUCUCUCCACCUGCUUUGUAUAUUCCAAAAAAAUCUGCUGCAUCUUUCUUUCCUUAUUGUCUCCUCUUUAGUGCUCUUCGCUCUUGUGGGUCUACACCUUUGAAAAAUUCCUUUAUUGGAGGGAUUCCAGAAGGAGAGGAAAUAGAAGCAUGUGGUAAAUUGGCCAUGUUGACCCAGAAAUUUGUCUGUAGCAUAUUUUUAGUAGAAAAAUACCUGUCAUUUAUUCAAGAGUAUUAAGCACCUGCCGUGUACCAGGAUGUGGGGGUGAGAGCAAAACCAAAGGUAAUUCCUGGGUUUAUGAAGCUAGUAGAACACAUGACAUAUUACAAACUGUGAUGGGAGCUUUGAAGGAAGGUUCAGGUUUCUACACUUACCUGGGUGAACCGACUUGGUCUAGAGGAUGUGAUGUUUAAGAUCUGAAGGAUGAAUAGGAGUCAGGGAGAUAAAGGGGUAAAGGUGGGCAUGGGGCAGAGCAGUGUACUAAGGUCAAUGGGAGCAGAUGGAGGUCUGUGGAGGGAAUGCAGAAAGGGAGGGGAAGAUGGUGCGAGAUGCAGCCAGAGGCAAGGGCAGGGGCCAGAGCGGCCAGGGGUCCCUGGAUCCAGGAAAGGCUGUCUUUGUGCUCAGCGUAGUGGAGACCUCUGAAGGGGCUUUAAGAGUUGACAUGGUUUGAUUUACAUUUUCAAAGCCCACGGGGUGCAGGAUGGCUUGGUGAGGAGGGCGGUGUGGAUGUGGGGAUUCCUGGAGGGAGGCAGCCACCCAGUUGAGAAGUCGUGUCACUUAAACCAGGGUGUUGGAAGCAGAGUUCGAGAGAGGUGGAUGGAUUAGAGAGAUAUGCCGAGACUCGGGGAUGGCUUGGAUUUGGGGAGUGGAGGAAAGGACGGUACGAGGAUGACACCCAAGCCUUUGGUGUGUGGAACUGGACGAAUGGUGGUGCCACUCACAGAGGCCAGAAGCUCUGCAAUAUAACUAGAUGUUAGAUCAGAAAAAACUGAAUUGUCCAGCAAUAGAACAAGCAAAUGGAUUGUCACAGAGGCAGAGUUGGAGCAGCUAUGGCUUCAACCAAUGGGAAGCCAGAAAGUUGAGCAGACUAAGGAGAAAGAACGCGGGUGGUGAUUAUAGAAGAUAGGGUCAGGGUCAAGGUCAAAGAACUGGUGAUCAAUGAAAGAGCCUCUCAACCAAUCCCAAUCCCAGUUUUUAGAGGACACGAUUAGAGAAGGGGGCUCAGAAGGAAAAUUCAAGGAUGUUGGGUAAGUCGCUCCUUUUAUCUUUUUAUUUUUUGAUUGGGGUAUAGUCGCUUUACAAUGUUGUGUUAGUUUCUGCUGUACAAUGAAGUGAAUCAGCUAUAUGUGUACAUAUAUCCCCUCCCCCUUGGACCUGCCUCCCCCCUCCCCCCAUCUCACUCAUCUAGGUUAUCACAGAGCACCCACUGAGCUCCCUGUGCUAUACAGCAGGUUCCCGCUAGCUAUUUGUUUUACACACGGCAGUGUAUAUAUGUCAAUCCCAAUUUCCCAAUUCAUCCCACCCUCCUUUCUCCUCUGCCCUGUGUCCACACAUCCGUUCUCUACAUCUGCGUCUCUAUUCCUGCUCUGAAAAUAGGUUCAUCUGUACCAUUUUUCUAGAUUCCACAUGUAAGUCUCUCCUUUUAAAACGUGAUGUCUCCAUUUCCGAGGGAAGUUGGUCAUCCCAGAUGGCCACAAGGAAGAGAUGGCUUGGCCUCCAACACUGAAUUAUUCAGCCCUCCCAGGCUCUCAGCUCCAGCUCCAACUUCAUCCCCAUCCUGUACCACCCUCUGUCCGCCAGGGUUCAGCGGGAAACAGAGCUCGCUCCAGACGGUUUAGUGAAAAUGCGUUAAUGAAGGCAUCACUCAUGAACCCACGUGGGACUACAAGCCUUCAUCCCUACCACCAGGGGACCAAAGGCAUAAAGGAGGGAGUGGUGUUCUGGAGCUCAGUGAAGACUGGAACCAGGGCAGAGGUGGAAGGAAAAUAGAGGUUACCAGGGAAAUUAUGCCAGAACAGGAAGGAAGUAGGGAAGAGAUAUCCCAGGUUUUCCCACCUUUCUCUUCUCCCGCGUCCUAUCACUCAAACCUGCCAGAAAGCCAGAAGGCAAAGGAGCCCAGGUGAUGCUGUUGGCAGGGUCAGCCCUCUGGACAAGUCAGACAAGGAUGGAGAAUGGACCAGGGAAGGGGGCAGGUGGAGAACCCCUACCCACAUCCCAUCCUGACCUGCCAGCAAAGCUGCCUGUGCUCUGCAGUGGCCACAGUCCACACAGCUGCUGCUGGGAGAUGCCUCCCUCUGAGGGUAACCUCAGCUUGGGACCUGCCCAGACCUCAAUGUGCGCCCCAGAUCUGGCGGGGAGGCUCGCAUAUACCCACACUCAGAAUGAGCACGGAAACUUCUCCCAAGGCCAAAUGGAAAUGGCUUUUGGAUCACCCACCAUUUGGCUGGAUUAUCUGUACCAUUGCCUCCGUCCAUUACUGAGGAGAGCCAGGAGGGUCUGGACUGUCCUUGGAGUUCCAGGAUGACCUUGUGGAGAGCUGAUUACAGUCUGUGUGCGGAAAAAGAAGAUGUCUGACUGUCAUUUUUUCCCUCUCUCUGGUUCAGCGAAGCUUGAUCUUUGGCCUGUGGCUAGAUCCCAUAUUGAAGAGCCUGUCACUGCUGGUGAUUUUGCUUGGAAGACCUCAAUUCAGACUGAAGCAAGCCUUUCCAUUAGCAAAGCUGUACAGAAUCCAUAUUUGCCUUUGAGACUUACAGGCUCCCCGUGUGGUGCUUGGGGGGCCCCUUCUGCACAGCACUGCUCCUCGCCCUCAACCCACUCACAUGCCACCUGGCUGCACCCCACUACCUCCAAGUCAUAAGAAGAACAGAUGCCAACACAGCUGCAGGGGGUCUCAUGUCUGAACCAGGAAGAGAAUGAGAGGCAGAAUCCAAGGUCAGGGCCUGGGAGAAUCCUGGAGAAGCCAUCUUUGAGAAUUAGGAUGUCUUCUUGGUGGGCUUUUCUGGUUGGCCCGGAGAGCAUCUACCUCUGCCACAGCCUCCUUUACAUCCCAAAGCCCCGACUCUAUGGAGCGGCCUCCAGAGCCUCAGAACGGGUCCUUAGCUCUGGUCCUGCCCAUCUCUGAUUUCCUAGGCCCCCUCCUCGUUCUGCCCUCACCACCACUGAGUUCCCAUGGGCCUCUUGACAAAAUUCAUGCACUUUGGGGGACCAGUAACAUAUAGUCAAAAGAGCUAACAUUUAUUUCCACCUAACUAUGUGUCAGGCACUUUUUUGUGUGCAUUUGACCUGCAUCAACAGCUUCAAUCCUUACAGUAACCCAAAGCGUGGUGGUGUCUGAACACUGGAAACCAAAUUUCAACCGAGGAUCAAAAGCAACGGUGAUGUCUUUGCAUGAGAUGCAGCUGAACUUCGAUGCUCCCGCAAUCUGAUUCACAGUUUAUAAUCACAGUUAUCACAGAACCAUUAAAAGCCUAUUAACUUGAAUUCCCACAAUUCCUUGAGGGCAAGGGCAAAGAGAGAGCAACGUAACUUUGAAUGUAAAUGUAACACAAGGUUCGAACAGAGAGAAUCUCUUUUAACUGUGCCAGCGGAAGAUGUCGUAUGGAUGCAUCUACCCUAGCAGAUGGCUGAUGUAAGAAUACAACGUGAAGUCUUAGGAGGCUCGGGGUGUUAUGAAAACGAUUUCUCUGUGAAGCGACUGGUAAAGUGUCUGUCCGCCCCAGACCUCUUUCUGGGAGGAGGAAGAGGAGGUGACUUGUUAAAAUGUGUUAACUGCACGCUGGGUUGGCUGGACAAACACUAUGCGGUGUCUGAUCGAAUCAGCCUGAAAAGAAUCCUCGGCCCCAUUCAGCGGGAGCAAAAGCCCAACUGCUGUCCAAGCCCUCGUCAUGUGAGAAAUCUGAUUUCAUGUUUUUCCACCCUUCAGUGCCUGUGCUGACAUUUCCCCUAACAAUGCUAUUAUGUGCUGUACAGCCAGACAGUGCAGUCAGUAAGCUGUCCUGAGACUUCGGAUAAAACGGAGAGCUCUUAUCUCACUGCAAAACAAUUAGAGACCUCGUGCAGCCGUGAGCUGUGUGCAUGCCAACAUACCAACGCUGGUCUGUUCCCAAAUUUCUGAGCCCUCCCUGGAGACAUACACGCCUGCACAUUAGGAUGCUCACUCUAAAUGGCCCACAUGCGUGUGCCCCUGGCGAGCUGGACGUGGUCCUUGUCUCACCUUUGUGAAGGAGUAUUGGAAUCACCUGAGGAAGGAAAGCGCGUUCUCUCUGCCGUCUCCAGCGCUGGUUCUGAAAUAACUAAUUCCAAUUAAUCCGUCCUCACCUCAUAUGAGUUCUUCCUGCAGGAACUGCCCACAUUCACUGCCCAGUUUGAUCCUGUUCCCACGAUGGAGAAAGCAAAUGGCUUGGUCCCGAGGGAGCAGGUUAUUGACUACGUACUUAAUUAGGCACACAGCCCCGAUGGGGUCAUUCUGCCACUGUCAAAACGACUGGACCAUGGCAUGGCGGAACCAUGAAUUUGGUUUACUAUCAUUUGCCACCGUUGAAUCAAUGGGGUAGGAAUCUAAAUGAAACGUUAAGACAACCACACUGCAGCCUGUUUAUAUAACUGUGCAAAGAAACAGCAUGUGUCUCAGGGUCCUCUGGGGGAAAACCUCUACUUCCCUACUUCCGUAUCAGGCACACUGAGGUUGGUGUUAUGCCUUCUAGAACGGUUUUAAGCGCCGAAGGGAAAACCUCCUAGGAAAAUAGGAUAUAAACUCUUUUAGCCUCCUACUUGAGUUUCCAAAUCUUUAAAAGUCUAAAAGGACAGUGAUCCUUGCCCAAGAAUUAGGCUGCAAUUCUUCUCUGUAGGUACAAGGUCAAAUGGGCCCAGGGGUGCCCUGAAUCCUCUGUCUUUUCACAGAAAGACCGAGAAAGCCUCAAGCACUGACCAGGGCCUUGAGAUUCUCCAGGGUGGUGCUUCUCAAACUUUAUGUGCACACAGAUCACCCGGGCAUCUUGUUAAAAUGCAGAUUCAGAUUCAGUAGGUCUGGGCAUGGACCUGAGACUCUGCAUUCCUAAUAAACUCCCAAGUGGUGCUUGGGUUGCUGGUCCAAGGACCACACCUGGAGCAGUGAGGCCUUGGUGGUGGGAAGGUUCCUUACCUCGCAGCCAACUUAGAAGGAAGUAGGGAAGAAAAGACCUUGCGAAGGCAACAUCGCAAGCCUUGACGCUGUGUCCAUUUCCUAUCUGCCUUUGCAAGGACCCCCGGUGACAGAAAUACCCUGGAAUGUGAAGAAAGAGCAAGCAAGAAAGGACAAAUUGGUGGUCAUCCACGCAAUUAACUGAAUUGAUGAACCUCGGAUCCCAGUCGAGCUGGAGAAAUCGGGGUGUAACGUCAGGACUCAGCCCACGUCUGUCAUUUAUGACUUUGUCUUAUUAUCUUUGUAACAAGGCUCUUUUAUUAGCUCACAGUUUGCUGCCAAGGUGAUGAAAUCGCCAUUAUGUUUUAUGGUACACGGUAAGAGGAGAGAGGGGAUCUUAAAAGACCUACAGAUCUCUUCUUCGUUGAGGGACCUCACCUCCUCUCUCUCCUCCCUGCGUGGGAUGGAGAUGAACUUACCAUCACGUUCCAAGACACUGUUCAUUUCCUCUUCAGCUGAAAAAUAUAUAUGGCUGUUUUGCUUUAUGAUUGUGGAGGCCGGCAUUUUCCAUUCCAGUGCUCUCUGUUCUGAACCACACUUGUAAUUACUGCUGUCUUUUAUUCUGUGUCUUCGGAGGACUGUCCCGUUCAAACUGCGAGAGGACAAAAGCUGCUGUCUUUCCAGGGGUGGAAACAAUAGCAUCGAGUCUUCAUGUAAACCUCAACAAACACGGAAACACAGAAGUGAAAAUAGGAAUAACAAACGCAUCCAGUGGAGAAAUGGAAAUCAAACUAAAUAUUUCCACCUGUCUUUUUCAGAAUUUGGAGAAAGAAUAAACUCAGCACGCCUGCUGCAUCCUAAGGUUCCCUCACAUUGGACAAAUGCAAAAGACACCAGAAUCCAUCACACGUACCAUGUUAAAAGAGUCCAAUAGUCCACGUUUAUCUCGGAGAGUGGAGGAGAAGCUACCACUGAUCUACAAAGUGCGGGAGAAGGCCUCUUACCGUUGUGGCCUCUGCCAUUGCGGAGCACAGGCUCCGGACGCGCAGGCUCAGCGGCCAUGGCUCACGGGCCCAGCCGCUCCGCGGCGUGUGGGAUCUUCCCGGACCUGGGCACGAACCCGCGUCCCCUGCAUCGGCAGGCAGACUCCCAACCACUGCGCCACCAGGGAAGCCCUAAAGAGAAUUUGUUAUGAUUUUCAGCAAUCUGGCAAUAAGGUUGAGUUUCAAAGCCUUGAGCUGAUGCACACACCCAAGACCUCACCCUGUGCCGUGUGUGCCAUCGCUGUCGAUGAAUUUAAUUCUUCUUUUUUUAAAUAAAUGUAUUUAUUUUGUUUA